UACGUAGGGUGCAAGCGUUGUCCGGAAUACUGGGCGUAAAGCGUGCGCAGGCGGUUAUGUAAGACAGGUGUGAAAUCCCCGGGCUUAACCUGGGAACUGCAUUUGUGAUUGCAUAGCUAGAGUACGGUAGAGGGGGAUGGAAUUCCGCGUGUAGCAGUGAAAUGGCGUAGAUAUGCGGGAGGAACACCGGAUGGCGAAGGCAAUCCCCUGGACCUG
rnacentral:rRNA from 1 species